ACUGCAGCUGAAACCAAAGGCAGAGAGAAUUCAUUCCUGGGUUUGGAGCCCCCCUAGACAGGACCCAUUCUACUGAGCAAGCAAGGCUGAACAGUCCCACAGCCCUAAACACAGGUGCCCAUCACCCUCAAUCCAGCAGGGCUGCAGAGAGGACAGACUCUGACUUUAAAUGACAAGGGACAAAACCUUGUACAGAGCCUGGCCUGAAAGGCCUGGGUGUGAUGGCCUCUCCCAGGGAGAGAGAUGAGAGGCCCUGUGAACAGACACCAGGACUGUCCCCAGGGAACCAUGGCAAGGUGUCAGGAGCAGGGAUUAUAGACAGGGCCAAGGACAUGUGAUGCAGGUGGCUGAGGGACAGCAUCACGGAGAAGUAGAAACUGAAACUAGGAAACAGUAUUUCCUUUUUUCUCUGACAACAUGUGCCUGCAGGGAUGAAACGCCUGCUGUGUCAUCACAGUGUUAAGAAACAAACUAACUUUUAGAUACAAUUAAAUGAGGACAAAGUCAUGGAGUGAGGCGUCCUGGACCUGGGUCCAGCGGGAUGGCCGGUCGACAGGAACCCCACAUGACUAGGAAUAUGAAUCCACCAACAGACGAGACGACACCCAGAAUGCUGCAGUUCUCGAGGGUUUAUUCUGUUUCCCAUGGCAUUCCUGACAGAUCUCCUCUGAGACCUCCUCCCACAAUGGAGGCAAAAUAAAUCUGUUUAAUAGUAACAAUUCACCUGA